rnacentral:rRNA from 1 species
CCAUGGAAGCUGUGAGCGCCCGAAGUCCGUGCAGCAACCCGCAAGGGAGCAAGCGGCCGAAGGCGACGCGCAGUGACUGGGGCG